UGCCAGCAGCCGCGGUAAUACGGAGGGUGCGAGCGUUAAUCGGAUUUAUUGGGUUUAAAGGGUACGCAGGCGGGACUUUAAGUCAGUGGUGAAAGCCUGCAGCUUAACUGUAGAAUUGCCAUUGAUACUGGAUUUCUUGAAUCUAAUAGAAGUAGGCGGAAUAUGACAUGUAGCGGUGAAAUGCUUAGAUAUGUCAUAGAACACCGAUAGCGAAGGCAGCUUACUAUGUUAGUAUUGACGCUAAUGCACGAAAGCGUGGGGAGCGAACAGGAUUAGAUA
rnacentral:rRNA from 1 species